UACAGGGGGUGCAAGCGUUAAUCGGAAUUACUUGGCGUAAAGGGUACGUAGGUGGAUUUGUAAGUUGGUUGUGAAAUCUUUGGGCUUAACCCAAAAAGGUCAACCAAUACUGCAUUUCUAGAGUUUUGCAGGGGAAAAUGGAAUUUCCAGUGUAGCGGUGAAAUGCGUAGAUAUUGGAAGGAACACCAGAGGCGAAGGCGAAUUUCUGGGCAAAAACUGACACUGAGGUACGAAGGCGUGGGGAGCAAAC
rnacentral:rRNA from 1 species